GCUGCCCUUCGUUGUCUUUGUUCAUCUAAUCCGACUGUUUGGAGUUCCCAUUUGCCUUGGAUUGAGUACUCCCACAACAGUCAUGUAUCUUCUGCUACAGGUUUUUCUCCUUUUGAGGUGUCGCUGGGUUACCAGCCCCCCCUUUUUCCAUCAGAAGAAGGGCAGACAUCUAUUACUUCAGUUCAACAUCAUCUUUGACGCUGCAAGCGUAUUUGGGAACAGACUCGGAGAGCCCUGCAUCGAACCGCUGAACAGAAUUGGCGCUAUGCUGACCGGAAACGAGCUCCUGCCCCUGCCUACCGCCCUGGAGACAAGCACUGCAGGUGGGCGUGGCUGGCUGUCUGAGCACCUGAGAUCAAUCAACCCAUCCACCUGAGAGGGAUUUAAGGAGCUGCAGCAAUCUCUUCCACGCCUGAUGGUCCCCAUAUUCUGGUUUAAUCGAAGCGCUCCUGGACGGAUCCCUUCUGCGUCUAACUUAGCGUGCUGAUCCAAUCUGCAGCUUAAUUUCUGUCAGCCUGCCCGCUCUCCACCGCCCCAGUGAAAACUCUCUGACGAUCGCCUCAGUCUGACUGCCCGCUCUUCACCACCUCUGUGACAGCUCCGUGACCAACGUCUCCUCCCUCAGUGCACCUCCAGCCACCUGCACAGCCUGUGGCAGUGUAUUCUAAGAGACUCUCAGUUAUUC